GCAGUGUCCUCCCCACACCUACUUCACAGCCAGUCUCAUCACUACCCCCUCCAGGAAGCCAUCCCUGACUAAUCCCGAACUAGAGGCCCAGUGAUCUCCCCAAGGCAGCCCAUCGUCCUCUGUUACUUUGUGGGUUUCUUCUACCCUGAAGUCUAACCCCAGUCUUAGCACAGUGAGUUAAUGACCUCCAGAGAAGAGUCUCAUUCUCCUGAGGUUCUGCCCUGUGUCUCUGGAAUGUUCUGUUAUGCUGACAGUGCCCCCCGCCUCACCUGGGCCUGCAGAGGUGCCAGGGCCAACACUGUCCUACGACCCCCUCCGCAGGUCACUGAGCGCUGCAUGCCUGGAGAAGUGCACCUGGCUGCCACCUGGGAGUGUACGUCCCUGCAGCAGCAUGACUGCGCCUCCUUCUGCCACCCAGUGGGCGGGGAGCUCAGUGCUGAACUGGGCAUGUAAGUGAGGAAAGAGAAUGCAUCAUCUCCUGGCAGGUCCUCACUGUCCCACAGGGCCCUUCCUGAAGGGUGUCCGUGGACCCAGCCCUGAUGGGAACUUAAGCCAAGCACAAGCUCCUUCCAGAAGCUUCCCUGAGUCAGCAUCUCCAGGGGUCCCCGCCAACACCUGCCUGACCAGAGCUGCCCAAGGCUGAGGAGAUGCUGGCCCCAUGGAACAGUUGGUCUAGGCCCUAGGCCCUGACCCAAGGCCAGGAGCUGACUCCUAUCACACGCUAAGCCCAGAGGGGGCCUCCAGUUCUGUCCUGAGCCCCAAUCCUGCUGCUGACUUGUGGACUGGGCAGGGAGGAGUUGCCUCUGGAUCAACAGGACUAUUCCAGGCUGAACAGCUUUCUCCCCACACCUGCCUCUGCAGGACGCCAAAGCAGUAGUGUAUGUCCCAGACCUCCAUUAGAAGUGCAGUGGCUGUUUAAGAAGCAGGCAGCCCGCCCUCCUUGGGGAAAGGCUGAUGACUCACCCUAUGGGGCCUGCCUUGGCUGCAAGGAUCAGGGCCAAGGCAGUCUCUCCACACCCACCAAGGCAGCCCCGCACCCCUCCACUUUUGCAGCUGUCAGUGCCAUGAGUAUGUCUCAGCAGAGGAGCUCUAUGAUGCCGUGUCUGGCCCAGGCCUCCCAGCUCUCCUUGGCCUGGGGCCCCAGUAGGGAGCUGAUCCUCAGCGUGAAGGACGAGGCUGGGGACAGCAUCCAGAUGGAAGUAUCAAGCACUCUGGGCCCAGACCAACUUUUCCAAGGGAGCGCCAGUGUCCAUCUGGUCCAGCUUAGCCCCCACGGCAUCUUUGGCUUCAUCAUCUGCAGGGCAGAAGUGCUAGACUCCUUUCUCCUCUGACCACCUGAGGCCAGCCCCCAACUGCAAAGGUGAUAUCAGACCUCAGGUCCAGAGCAGCCCAGUCCCCAGUUUCAUGGCAUCAAGCCUUGUGUUCCAAACCCUGUGGUCUGCUUGGGAGCAGGGGACGUGAUCCUCUUCCAGCUUCAUAUCCUUGCCCACACCCCGUAGGACAGAAGCUGGGGGCUCAGGAAGAAGAAUUGACAGCCAUGCUCAGCAAAAGGCCUCCUUGUGUGGAAGAACUGCCAGACCGCUCAGCCAGCCACUACCCCGUGUACCAGAAGCAGCAUCUGUUCAACAGCAACCCCCACUGGGACUCCGGGGCCUUCUGCAGACUCAGCCACUUGGUGCAAGAGACGCGCCUCAACUUCUCAAGGUUUGCUCACCAGUUCCUAGAUCCAGGCACAUGUGUGUUUCAAGACAACGGGCAGCCAGAGAGCCUGGCCGUGGUGCUGGUGAAGGAGGAGGGGGUGGCCUGUGGUCCCCGCCUGUCCCCUGUGCAGCCCUCAUCCCCGUAUCAGCUGGGCAGACACGGCAUCCUCAGGCACAGGCUUCCAAACCUGGGCCCAAACUGGGCGGUGAUCACAGGGGUGCUGCUGGCUGUUGGCUUAGCGACUGUGCUGUUGACAGGCCUGGGCCUCCUGCUGAGGCCCUCCCUGCCCCAUACCUGCCCCAUACCUGCCCCAUACAGGCUUGGAGGCCUGGGUGGAGAAGCCUGGGACAGCCUCAGGUGCCUGCUGAGUAUGUGCUCCUCAGGAACAGGAGAGCCGCUCCGGUCCCAGACCCUGGAGGACUUCAGCAUCUGCACACUCUACAACAAGCUUGAGGACCAGAACUUGCAUGUUGCUUCCCAGCUAAGCAAGCAUAGGAGUGAUGCCCUGGCCUUCUACAGGGCCACUGCCCAGCAGCUCCAGUGGCUCCAGGACUCUCAGCAGGACCUCAGCAGGACUGAGCUGCAAGCUCUGGGCAGGGAUGGAAACCCUGAGACAGAUCCCAAAGCCACAGCCAGGGCAGACACUGGGCAGAGCGAGGAACCAUGGGACAGCCACACUGCAGCUUCUCUGAGGGAGUGCCAGCAGCCUCCUCCACACACCAGCAGGACCCAUGACUCCCAGACAUCCCCCAGGGUGAUGCUAAAGGAGGAGAUGCUGAGAGCCCAGGACCUGGGGAGUGGAUAUUUGAGGCUGAACAUGGGCAUGAAGCCACUCCUGAGCUGCAGAGCCUCUGCAUGACAGAUUGCAUCCUCAAUACCCUGUUGUGGCAGAAAGAUGGAAGCUAAAUAUAUACUGUAAACUCCACGGAAGUUCACCAAUGUGCUCCCAGAAU
rnacentral:lncRNA from 13 species